rnacentral:rRNA from 1 species
UACAGAGGUCCCAAGCGUUGUUCGGAUUCACUGGGCGUAAAGGGUGCGUAGGCGGUCGGGUAAGUCUGAUGUGAAAUCUCACAGCUUAACUGUGAAACUGGCAUUGGAUACUAUUCGGCUUGAGAGUUGGAGGGGGACUGGAAUUCUUGGUGUAGCAGUGAAAUGCGUAGAUAUCAGGAGGAACACCGAUGGCGAAGGCAGCUCGCUGGGACGGUACUGACGCUGAGGCGCGAAAGCGUGGGGAGCAAACGGG